GUCUGUGGCCAUGCCCCCCUGAACUCGCCCCAUCCCGUCUGGUCUCAGAAGCAAAGCAGGGUCGGGCCUGGUUAGUACCUGGAUGGGAGACCGCCUGGGAAUACCGGGCUCUGUGGGUG
ensembl:rRNA 5S_rRNA 5S ribosomal RNA